rnacentral:rRNA from 1 species
CACCCUGUGACAUACCUAUAACGUUGCCUCGGCGGGAACAGACGGCCCCGUAACACGGGCCGCCCCCGCCAGAGGACCCCCUAACUCUGUUUCUAUAAUGUUUCUUCUGAGUAAACAAGCAAAUAAAUUAAAACUUUCAACAACGGAUCUCUUGGCUCUGGCAUCGAUGAAGAACGCAGCGAAAUGCGAUAAGUAAUGUGAAUUGCAGAAUUCAGUGAAUCAUCGAAUCUUUGAACGCACAUUGCGCCCGCCAGUAUUCUGGCGGGCAUGCCUGUUCGAGCGUCAUUACAACCCUCAGGCCCCCGGGCCUGGCGUUGGGGAUCGGCGGAAGCCCCCUGCGGGCACAACGCCGUCCCCCAAAUACAGUGGCGGUCCCGCCGCAGCUUCCAUUGCGUAGUAGCUAACACCUCGCAACUGGAGAGCGGCGCGGCCACGCCGUAAAACACCCAACUUCUGAAUGUUGACCUCGAAUCAGGUAGGAAUACCCGCUGAACUUAAGCAUAUCAA